GCCGCGAUAGCGUAGCCUGGUCAGCGCGGGGGCCUGUGGAGCCCUAUGCCCGGGUUCAAAUCCCGGUCGCGGCC
rnacentral:tRNA from 1 species